rnacentral:rRNA from 1 species
UGGGGAAUAUUGCGCAAUGGGGGAAACCCUGACGAAGCAACGCCGCGUGGAGGAUGAAGGCCUUCGGGUCGUAAACUCCUGUCGACCGGGACGAACGCUAUUGGGCCCAAUACGCCCGAUAGUCGACUGUACCGGUGGAGGAAGCCACGGCUAACUCUGUGCCAGCAGCCGCGGUAAUACAGAGGUGGCAAGCGUUGUUCGGAAUUACUGGGCGUAAAGGGCGCGUAGGCGGCUUGACAAGUCACUUGUGAAAUCUCUGGGCUUAACCCAGAACGGCCAAGUGAAACUGUCAUGCUAGAGUGCAGAAGGGGCAAUCGGAAUUCUUGGUGUAGCGGUGAAAUGCGUAGAUAUCAAGAGGAACACCUGAGGUGAAGACGGGUUGCUGGGCUGACACUGACGCUGAGGCGCGAAAGCCAGGGGAGCAAACGGGAUUAGAUACCCCGGUAGUCCCUGAGCGGGCUGGCAAGGCGCAU